UGAGUAACGCGUGGGUAACCUGCCUUAUACAGGGGAUAACAGUCAGAAAUGGCUGCUAAUACCGCAUAAGCGCACAGAGCUGCAUGGCUCAGUAUGAAAAACUCCGGUGGUAUAAGAUGGACCCGCGUUGGAUUAGCUAGUUGGUGGGUAACGGCCCACCAAGGCGACGAUCCAUAGCCGGCCUGAGAGGGUGAACGGCCACCAUUGGGACUGAGACACGGCCCAGACUCCUACGGGAGGCAGCAUG
rnacentral:rRNA from 1 species